UACGAAGGGGGCUAGCGUUGCUCGGAAUUACUGGGCGUAAAGCGCACGUAGGCGGUUUCUUAAGUCGGGGGUGAAAUCCUGGAGCUCAACUCCAGAACUGCCUUCGAUACUGGGAGACUUGAGUUCGGGAGAGGUGAGUGGAACUGCGAGUGUAGAGGUGAAAUUCGUAGAUAUUCGCAAGAACACCAGUGGCGAAGGCGGCUCACUGGCCCGAUACUGACGCUGAGGUGCGAAAGCGUGGGGAGCAAACAGGG
rnacentral:rRNA from 1 species